rnacentral:rRNA from 1 species
GAUGAACGCUGGCGGCGUGCCUAAUACAUGCAAGUCGAGCGAACGGACGAGAAGCUUGCUUCUCUGAUGUUAGCGGCGGACGGGUGAGUAACACGUGGAUAACCUACCUAUAAGACUGGGAUAACCUCGGGAAACCGGAGCUAAUACCGGAUAAUAUUUUGAACCGCAUGGUUCAAAAGUGAAAGACGGUCUUGCUGUCACUUAUAGAUGGAUCCGCGCUGCAUUAGCUAGUUGGUAAGGUAACGGCUUACCAAGGCAACGAUGCAUAGCCGACCUGAGAGGGUGAUCGGCCACACUGGAAUUGAGACACGGUCCAGACUCCUACGGGAGGCAGCAGUAGGGAAUCUUCCGCAAUGGGCGAAAGCCUGACGGAGCAACGCCGCGUGAGUGAUGAAGGUCUUCGGAUCGUAAAACUCUGUUAUUAGGGAAGAACAUAUGUGUAAGUAACUGUGCGCAUCUUGACGGUACCUAAUCAGAAAGCCACGGCUAACUACGUGCCAGCAGCCGCGGUAAUACGUAGGUGGCAAGCGUUAUCCGGAAUUAUUGGGCGUAAAGCGCGCGUAGGCGGUUUUUUAAGUCUGAUGUGAAAGCCCACGGCUCAACCGUGGAGGGUCAUUGGAAACUGGAAAACUUGAGUGCAGAAGAGGAAAGUGGAAUUCCAUGUGUAGCGGUGAAAUGCGCAGAGAUAUGGAGGAACACCAGUGGCGAAGGCGACUUUCUGGUCUGUAACUGACGCUGAUGUGCGAAAGCGUGGGGAUCAAACAGGAUUAGAUACCCUGGUAGUCCACGCCGUAAACGAUGAGUGCUAAGUGUUAGGGGGUUUCCGCCCCUUAGUGCUGCAGCUAACGCAUUAAGCACUCCGCCUGGGGAGUACGACCGCAAGGUUGAAACUCAAAGGAAUUGACGGGGACCCGCACAAGCGGUGGAGCAUGUGGUUUAAUUCGAAGCAACGCGAAGAACCUUACCAAAUCUUGACAUCCUUUGACAACUCUAGAGAUAGAGCCUUCCCCUUCGGGGGACAAAGUGACAGGUGGUGCAUGGUUGUCGUCAGCUCGUGUCGUGAGAUGUUGGGUUAAGUCCCGCAACGAGCGCAACCCUUAAGCUUAGUUGCCAUCAUUAAGUUGGGCACUCUAAGUUGACUGCCGGUGACAAACCGGAGGAAGGUGGGGAUGACGUCAAAUCAUCAUGCCCCUUAUGAUUUGGGCUACACACGUGCUACAAUGGACAAUACAAAGGGCAGCGAAACCGCGAGGUCAAGCAAAUCCCAUAAAGUUGUUCUCAGUUCGGAUUGUAGUCUGCAACUCGACUACAUGAAGCUGGAAUCGCUAGUAAUCGUAGAUCAGCAUGCUACGGUGAAUACGUUCCCGGGUCU